rnacentral:rRNA from 1 species
UACGUAGGGAGCAAGCGUUGUUCGGAUUUACUGGGCGUAAAGGGCGCGUAGGCGGCGCGGUAAGUCACUUGUGAAAUCUCUGAGCUUAACUCAGAACGGCCAAGUGAUACUGCAGUGCUAGAGUGCAGAAGGGGCAAUCGGAAUUCUUGGUGUAGCGGUGAAAUGCGUAGAUAUCAGGAGGAAUACCGAUGGCGAAGGCAGGUCUCUGGGCUGACACUGACGCUCAUGCACGAAAGCGUGGGGAGCAAACAGG